UACGAAGGGUGCAAGCGUUACUCGGAAUUACUGGGCGUAAAGCGUGCGUAGGCGGUUUGUUAAGUCUGUCGUGAAAGCCCUGGGCUCAACCUGGGAAUUGCGAUGGAUACUGGCAAGCUAGAGUACGGUAGAGGAUGGUGGAAUUCCCGGUGUAGCGGUGAAAUGCGUAGAGACCCGGAGGAACACCAGUGGCGAAGGCGGCUUCCUGGUCUGCGACUGACGCUGUGGCGCGAAAGCUAGGGGAGCAAACGGG
rnacentral:rRNA from 1 species